GAUGAACGCUGGCGGCGUGCCUAAUACAUGCAAGUCGAGCGAACAGACGAGGAGCUUGCUCCUCUGACGUUAGCGGCGGACGGGUGAGUAACACGUGGAUAACCUACCUAUAAGACUGGGAUAACUUCGGGAAACGGGAGCUAAUACCGGAUAAUAUAUUGAACCGCAUGGUUCAAUAGUGAAAGACGGUUUUGCUGUCACUUAUAGAUGGAUCCGCGCCGCAUUAGCUAGUUGGUAAGGUAACGGCUUACCAAGGCAACGAUGCGUAGCCGACCUGAGAGGGUGAUCGGCCACACUGGAACUGAGACACGGUCCAGACUCCUACGGGAGGCAGCAGUAGGGAAUCUUCCGCAAUGGGCGAAAGCCUGACGGAGCAACGCCGCGUGAGUGAUGAAGGUCUUCGGAUCGUAAAACUCUGUUAUUAGGGAAGAACAAAUGUGUAAGUAACUAUGCACGUCUUGACGGUACCUAAUCAGAAAGCCACGGCUAACUACGUG
rnacentral:rRNA from 1 species